CGUGUGUGAGAAGGCCUUUUGGUUGUAAAGCUCUUUUUGCAGGGAAGAAGACCUAACGGUUAAUACCCGUUUGCGAUGACUUUACCUGCACAGUACGCCCCGGUU
rnacentral:rRNA from 1 species